UGAUUCCACCAGUGACUGAGCACAGACAACCACCAUGGAGCUGGGGCUGCGCUGGGUUCUCCUUGUUACUCUGUUGAAAGGUGUGCAGUGUGAGGUGCAGCUGGUGGAGUCUGGGGGAGGCUUGGUGCAGCCUGGGGGGUCCCUGAGACUCUCCUGUGUGGCCUCUGAAUUCACCUUCAGUCACUAUGGCAUGAGCUGGGUCCGCCAGGCUCCAGGGAAGCGGCUGGAGUGGAUUUCAUCCAUCUAUGGUGAUAAUAGUUACAUAAAGUAUGCAGACUCCGUGAAGGGCCGCUUCACCAUCUCCACAGACAACAGCAAGAACACAGUUUACCUGCAGAUGAACAGCCUGAGAGUGGAGGACACGGCCAUCUAUUACUGUGCAAGAGACACAAGCCUGAAUCAUGGGCUGAGCAGUCAAAUGUGGAAUUCUCUGGAAAGAGUUGCUCAGCUCUGCUCCAGAGACCAAGAAUUCCUGGAGACAUGGAGGCAGGGAAGCAAGAUCAUCUCUCCUUACGAGGCCAAUAAGGACACUCCUGCCCUGCAGAACUGGUGUCUGCUCCCUAAUAUCAAGAGCACACGGGUCAGCAAUAAGGAGUGA